AACGACGCAUUUCUUCCCGCCCUCGGACGCCGCAGCCGGUUGGGAUCAGAGCGGGUCUUCAAGUAGUGUGCGCCGGGCCCCUGUUGGUCGAGUCUCCGCGGGGCUCGGCGGCUUGCGGCGAGCAUGUCGGUAACCCACCGGACCCGUCUUGAAACACGGACCAAGGAGUCUGACGUGUGCGCGAGUCAAGGGGACUUGAAUAGGCCCAAAGGCGAAAUGAAAGUGAAGUCGUGAUGCCGCGGCCGCAACGACAUCCCGGUCGGGGUCUGAGCGCACAGGUUGGUACCCGAAAGAUGGUGAACUAUGCCCGACCAGGACGAAGUCAGGUGAAAAUCUGAUGGAGGUCCGAAGCGCUUCUGACGUGCAAAUCGAUUGCGAGAGUCGGGUAUAGGGACGAAAGAUUAAUCGAACCAUCUAGUAGCUGGUUCCCUCCGAAGUUUCCCUCAGGAUAGCUGGCGCUCAUCGAGUCGCACUUAUUAAAGCGAA
rnacentral:rRNA from 1 species